AGAGUUUGAUCCUGGCUCAGAUUGAACGCUGGCGGCAUGCUUUACACAUGCAAGUCGAACGGCAGCACGGGGGCAACCCUGGUGGCGAGUGGCGAACGGGUGAGUAACACAUCGGAACGUGUCCAGUUGUGGGGGAUAACCCAUCGAAAGGUGGGCUAAUACCGCAUGAUCUGGCAACAGCAAAGCAGGGGACCGCAAGGCCUUGUGCGAUUGGAGCGGCCGAUGUCCGAUUAGCUAGUUGGUGGGGUAAAGGCCCACCAAGGCGACGAUCGGUAGCUGGUCUGAGAGGAUGAUCAGCCACACUGGGACUGAGACACGGCCCAGACUCCUACGGGAGGCAGCAGUGGGGAAUUUUGGACAAUGGGGGCAACCCUGAUCCAGCCAUGCCGCGUGAGUGAAGAAGGCCUUCGGGUUGUAAAGCUCUUCCGGUGGGAACGAAACGGUUACGGCUAACACCUGUGACUAAUGACGGUACUCACAGAAGAAGCACCGGCUAACUACGUGCCAGCAGCCGCGGUAAUACGUAGGGUGCGAGCGUUAAUCGGAAUUACUGGGCGUAAAGCGUGCGCAGGCGGUUACUUAAGUCAGGUGUGAAAGCCCUGGGCUUAACCUAGGAAUUGCGCUUGAGACUGGGUAGCUUGGAGUGUGGCAGAGGGAGGUGGAAUUCCACGUGUAGCAGUGAAAUGCGUAGAGAUGUGGAGGAACACCGAUGGCGAAGGCAGCCUCCUGGGCCAGCACUGACGCUCAUGCACGAAAGCGUGGGGAGCAAACAGGAUUAGAUACCCUAGUAGUCC
rnacentral:rRNA from 1 species